GGCGGGGCCUGCGACCUGCGGGAGGGAGGACCGAACCUGCGACCUGCGGGAGGGAGGACGGAGCGGGGCCUACGACCUGUGGGCUGGGAGGACGGAGUGAGGCCUGUGACCUGCAGGAGGGAGGAUGGAGUGAGGCCUACGACCUGCAGGCUGGGAGGAUGGAGCGGGCCUGCGACCUGAGGGCUGGGAGGACGGAGCCAGCCGCGGGCAGGCCCGUGUGCACUGGUAAUGCGAUGCUGCUCAUCAGGGACCACACUUUGAGUGAAAGGGGUGCAGAAGAUUGUUCAUACCCGUGCAUUGGUUCAGGUGGGCCACAGGUUCACAGAAGCACAACACCAUGUACCCCCAUCCCCACCUUCCACUGUUAUCCCAAACUUAGUGGCUUUAAACACAUUUAUUCUCUUGUNGGUGCACUGGUUCAGGUGGGCCACAGGUUCACAGAAGCACAACACCAUGUACCCACACCUUCCACUGUUAUCCCAAACUUAGUGGCUUUAAACACAUUUAUUCUCUUGUACUUUUUGAAGCCAGAAUCAAGAAUAAGUCUUACAGAGCUGAAACCAAAGUGUCAGCAGAGCUGGUUCUUUCAGCAGGCUCUAGGGGAGGAUGCAUGCAUGUCCUUGCCUUUUCCAGCUUCACAGGCCACCCACAAUCCUUGGCUCAUGACCCUGGAUCACAUCACCUUUUCUCCCUCAACUUCCACCAUCACAUCUCCUUGUUCCCUGUCUGACCUUACUGUGUCCCGAUUAUAA
rnacentral:lncRNA from 1 species